CCUGCAUCUUUGUUCCAUGCCAGGGUGUGCUGGACUUUGGAAACAGUUUGGGAUUAAAUCCCAGUUACAGGAGCUCUCAGGGAGGGUGGAACGGUAACUGUGACCCUGAACAGUCAUUACAGGGCGUGUCCAAGGUCCCACCCUUUUGAAAGGUCCCCUGCUCUUCACCCCUGCUCCAGGGCAGCCUGACAUUAGAGAGGUUUCCCACCUUGGCUCGAUUUUCUUGUGCAGGGUGGGACCAGGCGCAGCAACACCAGGUAACACCUUCCAGGGGUGGGCAGACGCCCCUGUCAGGGCUGAGAUAACUAGAGGGGUGCUGGCCAGGAGGAACGCAGGCCCAGCUGCUGCAAGAGGCUUAAUUAUCAAGACCUCAAGAGGAAAUGUUCACAAGCACGAUGGUCCCCUUAAAGGCAGUGCCCUCGCCAUGUUUCAGUGAUCCUAAGGGGCCGGUUUUUCAUAUUUUGAGAUCUCUGGCAUCGGGGUGUGUCUUUAAUAGCCGUAGGCAGGGCUCACUGGAGGAGUUGUCAUCGCCUGCCCUGCCGAACAUCCAGUCUGCAGGAGAUUCUGCGGCUUGGAAGAACCCUGGAGACAAUGGUGGUAGCUGCUUCCUCCGCGGCUACACAGUGAGCUCCCUGGCACCGGAAGAUAAGUAUAAAUUGUCUCAUCUCCACGCAUCCCUCCCAUACCCGGAGGCCUGACGCCUGCAGGCUGUGUUUCCCAGGCUUUCUCCACAGCCAGUUGGGUCCCAGGAGGUUUGACCAUCAUGAGGAACUGGGGGAGGUGCCCGGGAAGAGAGAAGAAUGAAGCUAGAGCAUCCUUCUGUCCCUCGUGCCUCAAGAGGUCCCCAGAAGUACCACAGCUCCUCUGUUCCAGCUGGCACCAAGUUCCCCAGACCCUGGGCUCUGCUAACCCCACUGGCUCCGCUGGGGUGGUGGCAGUUUCCCAGAGCGGUUGAUUUCCAAAAUCUUCUCCACUGUGCCCUCCCACAACCUGUGUAGCUCACCUACUGCAUCGGGUCCUAUGUAGAAGACCUAAGGUUUCUUUUUCCUGGGUGGACCCUGUCUUUCCUGAUGCUGCUGUGACAGGAAUUCCAGUAUGGACAGGAGGCUGAUCUGAAAGAUCCUUUGCAAGCCUGACACUCUGGGGUUCGCUUUAGGUGACCCAGACACAUCCACCUCCCUUUCCUAUCCAAGUGCCAACUUCCCUCUAGUGGGUAGUAGGCAGGCCAGGUCCAUCCAAGCCAGCAAAAGUCAGGGAGCAGAAACUGAACACACACACACACACACACACACACACACACACACAGUCAGAAAAGUCCAACAGCCUAUCCAUGGUUCCCCAGAACAAACAGCAGCAGUUUCCAAUGCCAGGGAAGAACUUCCCAGAAAGCUGAGGACAUACCCUUGCCCAGGACUUCUAGACUGUUAUCACCCUUGCCUGCCAGGAAAGGCUUCCAGAACCUUCUGAGCCAACAUCCCUAUUCAAGGGUGGAGAACCGGAGGCUCAGACAGGGAGAGCGACUAUCUCAAGGCCUCCCAGCAAGCUAGUAGCAGCAGAGCUGGCUGGCACACAGGUCUCCGGCUCCUGGCCAGUGGCCUUUGUCCCCUGCCCUAUCAUGCUGUUCCUGUCCCACCCUCACAAGAAACAGGUUCCCAGGAGCACUGGUGAGACUGGGCAUCAGGUCCAGCUUUGGGCAGCUCAGCAGGUGCCAGUACCCCUGUGGUUAGGGGGUGUGGGGCCCAACAAGCCCACUUUGGGGGCUACCACGUAAGCAUGCAGGCCCAAGGACAUCUGUGCGAUGGUGUUCGCCACAGCCUCGCUGAAAGCAAAAUGGUAAAGAAGUAGUGUAUGUCAGCCAGCACAUGGUCGGCAGGAAGCAUGGCAUGGCUAUUCCCUGGACCUACCGGGGCGGGCAGACUGAUAAGGCCUGCUCUGCACUCCUGGGCCUGUUUCCAUGGAGACCAUACACCCAAAAGAAAAGAAAAUGCCUCGAGGUGGCCAGGGUCAGGGUCGGACCAAGGGUCUCAGCAGAAACAGAUGCAACUUUUGGCAUAAGCCUUUUAUACUAUUUGCGUGGUGCCACGGGCUCAGUGAUGUUCCAGGAGUUAAUAAAGUUGCUUUAAUACUUAAUUAAAAUAAAAAUCAAAAUUUUAAAAAUACUGAAAGCCUUCAGAAAUAAAGGUCAGGCAUGAUGGUGCACACCUGUAGUCCAAGCUGAUCAGGAGGCUGAGGCAGCAGCAUUGUGAGUCCAAAGCCAGCCUGGGCAAUUUAGAUUCUGUCUCAAAAAUAGAAAGGGCUGGGCCCGGGGUGGUGGUGCACACCUGUAAUCAGCACUCUGGAGGCCGAGGCAGGAGGAUUGCUGAGUUCAAGACAUGCCUGGGCUACAUAGUGAGUUCCAGGUCAGUCCAGUCUCAACUACAGAGUGAGACCCUGUCUCAAAAAAGAAAAAAAAAGAAAGGGCUGGCGAUGCAGUUGAGUGGUAGAGAGCUUGCCUAGCAUGUUGAGGCCCUGGGUUCAAUUCCUAAUGCUGUAAAGAAGAAAGAAAAAGAAAGAAAGAAUGAAUAAGGUAAGUUACAUGUGCUGACCUAGUCGGUGUAAGGCCCAGCAGAGCCCCACUGGGAAGGGAAGGAAGGGGAAGUGGGGAAGGGAGGGAGGAAGGAAGUAAAAAGAAAGAGAAAAGGGAGACAGGGAUUUAGCUCAGCCUCCUAAGCACAAGGACCCGAGUUCAAUUCCUGGUAUGAGAGAGAGAGAGAGAGAGAGAGAGAGAGAGAGAGAGAGAGAGAACUAACUCCCGUACUUGUUCUUGGCUGGGGGUCUCUACAGUGCUGGUACGUGGAUGGUGCAUCCUGGCCCUCUGGCUAAGCGAAGAAGGGCACAGCCCAGGCCCCCACCUGCAUGUUUCACAAAGCUGUGCCUCUGCUUGUGGGACGCCCAGAGUCAGGGGGCAUCCGGAAAUCACCCGCACAGAUGAGAGAGUUGGGAGGCGGGAGGUAAGGGGGGCCCAGAGCACCAUGGGGAAAGUGGCUGGAGGGACCAGAGGGGAGACCCCAGCGAUCACAGGUGGACGAAAUGUGAUGUGCUCCCCACUGUUCCAGGAGAAAGGACCGGAGCCUGCAGGAGGAGCUCUCCGAGUACGAAGCAGAGUAGGGAGCAAGAGCCCCGUCACCAGCGGAGGUCACUGGAUGCUGCCUGCAGAGAUCCCAUAGAAGCCUCUUAGUCAUAGAGCACAGGGAUGGGUUCUCUGAUCUCUAAGGUCCCUUCCACCCUGAGCAUCUCUGGCUCUGACCAAAAGACCCCGGAUAGGGACAGUAACGGCCCCCGGGUGCCGAGUCCUCACCGUGGGCUGAGUGGUUUUACAGGCACCGAGCCCACAGCGGCACCAGGCUGAGCAGCCGCGGCCCCGCAAGUUACAGGUUAAGAGGCUCGGGGUGAGAGGCGCCCUCCAGGGCCGUGGCUGGUGAGAAUCACGCUCCCCAAAGG
ensembl:lincRNA